GAUGAACGCUGACAGAAUGCUUAACACAUGCAAGUCAUUGGCGAAGCUGCGCUUGCGCAGUCUAGCCAAGGCGGACGGGUGAGUAACGCGUAAGGAACUUGCCCUGCAGACAGGGAUAACGGACGGAAACGACUGAUAACACCUGGUAUUGUCAGGCUGGCGCAUGCCGGCCUGAUGAAAGGAGACACUGCAGGAGAGCCUUGCGUCCUAUUAGCUAGUUGGUGGGGUAACGGCCCACCAAGGCGAUGAUAGGUAGCCGGCCUGAGAGGGUGAACGGCCACAAGGGGACUGAGAUACGGCCCUUACUCCUACGGGAGGCAGCAGUGGGGAAUAUUGGACAAUGGGGGCAACCCUGAUCCAGCAACUCUGUGUGCACGAAGAAGGUUUUCGGAUUGUAAAGUGCUUUCAGCAGGGAAGAAGAAAGUGACGGUACCUGCAGAAGAAGCGACGGCUAAAUACGUG
rnacentral:rRNA from 1 species